rnacentral:rRNA from 1 species
CCUACGGGGGACAGCAGUCGAGAAUCAUUCACAAUGGGGGAAACCCUGAUGGUGCGACGCCGCGUGGGGGAAUGAAGGUCUUCGGAUUGUAAACCCCUGUCAUGUGGGAGCAAAUUAAAAAGAUAGUACCACAAGAGGAAGAGACGGCUAACUCUGUGCCAGCAGCCGCGGUAAUACAGAGGUCUCAAGCGUUGUUUGGAAUCACUGGGCGUAAAGCGUGCGUAGGCUGUUUCGUAAGUCGUGUGUGAAAGGCGCGGGCUCAACCCGCGGACGGCACAUGAUACUGCGAGACUAGAGUAGUGGAGGGGGAACCGGAAUUCUCGGUGUAGCAGUGAAAUGCGUAGAUAUCGAGAGGAACACUCGUGGCGAAGGCGGGUUCCUGGACAUUAACUGACGCUGAGGCACGAAGGCCAGGGGAGCGAAAGGGAUUAGAUACCCGUGUAGUC